rnacentral:lncRNA from 1 species
CCACUUGAAACUCUUUCCUCCACGUGCCUUGUAUGAUGACGAAUUUGCUGCUCACCAUGCAACAACACAUCAUUUUUGCCAUGCUGAAAAUAGCAAUCAUCAUAGCCCUCAUCUUCUUCCACUUGACUUGGAAGUUCAACCACUAUUGCUACAGUCGGUGUUGGCUCAGUAUUAAUCCCUAUUUGGCCAUUUCAGUAUUAAUCUCCAUUUGACCAUCUUCUUGCCACGUUUGUCAGGUGUCAAUUCCACGUACCCCGCAUGAGUGUUUGCAUGUUGUUGCAAUCGGUGUAGUCGGUGCUCACUGCUGCUGGCCACGUUUGUUUGCUGGUUGUCGGUGAUCGCAGCUGCCACUCACAGUUACUGACUCAUCAUGGCUUGCAUGAUCAUGAGUAUGUUUCUCAUUGAGCAACAGCACAUUAUCGGUGCUUUGGUGUAACAGACCAUCAUCAUUACACAUACUUAAUUUCUUAUAAUUGAUCUGUAAUUUCAACCAAGGCUGCUGCAAUCGGUGAAUGUUCAGCAUCAUUCCCCAUUUAAUCAUCUUCUUCAAAUAUAAGAUUGUCAUUGUCCAUCUCUAACUCCAUAAACAACUUGGUAGAUUAGUCUUACAAAUCGUACUCCUUACUAUGUCCAUUAGGGUUCUCCUUCUUUUCUUAGCCACUUCGUUUUGCUCGAGAUUUCUAGUGUGGUGUAUUGAGCUACAAUUCCAUUUUCUUGUAGAAAAAAAAAAAAGGGCAAAUGGACUAAGAUGUCUGCCAGUUUGAGUGUAUCUACCAUUGUAUUCACCUCUCCUAUCAGACCUAACCUCCUUAAAUUUUUUUUUUUUUUUUUUUUUUUUUUUUUCUUCCAAUUGGUUUUCGAUGUCAAUUUUGAAAUCUUAAAGUUUCAAGUGCAUUUGAUUAUUUUGAAUUAGAUAGAU